AAAAGGGUUAUUUUGAUAGAAUAGGUCAUGUAAAAUUAAAUUACUCUUA
rnacentral:tRNA from 1 species